GGAACAGGUCACACUAUCGGCCGAUAGGUGUGUAUCGGAUCGAUCUCUUGUAUUACAUGUAUGUAGACAUCCAUGAACAUCAGAAUGGUAUUGUCUCCGAUCUAUGUGCUUUUAAUGGCGACUGCAAUGUUGAGCCUCCUGCUUUCUUCGGUAAGCAGUUCAUGUUCAGAUGGCUACAAUCGUCCCUACACUCUACCAAUGUUCCACAAAUGCGGGACCCAAUUGGUCAAUGGCAGGGAGAUACAGCUCAUCCCAAAAGUAGUCCCCAUGAGAUUCCCUAACCCUAGAUGUCCCGGAUAUAAUGCCAUGCAUCACAGCGAUAUUCUGCAUGGGUAUCGCGUCUGCCGUUUACCAGAAAGUGUUACUAUAAAUACUACUUCUGCACAGACUGCCACCGAACAGACAACAG